AUUGAACGCUGGCGGCAGGCCUAACACAUGCAAGUCGAGCGAGCGGCGGACGGGUGAGUAAUGUCUGGGAAACCGCCUGCUGGGGGGGGCUAACUACUGGAAACGCUAGCUCAUACCGCAUACCAUCCGGUGUGCCCAGAUGGGAUUAGCUGGUAGGUGGGGUAACGGCCCACCUAGGCGACGAUCCCUAGCUGGUUUGAGAGGAUGACCAGCAACACUGGAACUGAGACACGGUCCAGACUCCUACGGGAGGCAGCAGUGGGGAAUAUUGCACAAUGGGCGAAAGCCUGAUGCAGCCAUGCCGCGUGUGUGAAGAAGGCCUUCGGGUUGUAAAGCACUUUCGGCGGGGAGGCGGUACCCGCAGAAGAAGCACCGGCUAACUCCGUGCCAGCAGCCGCGGUAAUUC
rnacentral:rRNA from 1 species